GAUGAAGAACGCAGUGAAAUGCGAUAAGUAAUGUGAAUUGCAGAAUUCAGUGAAUCAUCGAAUCUUUGAACGCACAUUGCGCCCAUUAGUAUUCUAGUGGGCAUGCCUGUUCGAGCGUCAUUAAUUCCACUUAAGCCCUGCUUAGUGUUGGGAAUCUACUCUAGUGGUGCUACCCUGGAGCUACCCCUGAAAGGGGGCUGGCCCGGUAGCUACCCUGUAGUUCCUCAAAGAUAGUGCGCGGAGUUGCGUGGUCCUCUGAGCUUAGUAACUAUACACCUAGCUUUUGAGUGUCCCGCGGCGCCUGUCGUUUAAACCCCAUCUUUUAAUGGUUGACCUCGGAUCAGGUAGGAAUACCCGCUGAACUUAAGCAUAUCAAUAAGCGGAGGA
rnacentral:misc_RNA from 1 species